AUACGGAGGGUGCAAGCGUUAAUCGGAAUUACUGGGCGUAAAGCGCACGCAGGCGGUCUGUCAAGUCGGAUGUGAAAUCCCCAGGCUCAACCUGGGAACUGCAUUCUAAACUGGCAGGCUAGAGUCUUGUAGAGGGGGGUAGAAUUCCAGGUGUAGCGGUGAAAUGCGUAGAGAUCUGGAGGAAUACCGGUGGCGAAGGCGGCCCCCUGGACAAAGACUGACGCUCAGGUGCGAAAGCGUGGGGAGCAAACAGGAUUAGAUACCCUGGUAGUCCACGCCGUAAACGAUGUCGACUUGGAGGUUGUGCCCUUGAGGCGUGGCUUCCGGAGCUAACGCGUUAAGUCGACCGCCUGGGGAGUACGGCCGCAAGGUUAAA
rnacentral:rRNA from 1 species